AUGAAAAUUAAUUGUUUUUCUUGCUGUUCGAACAGUUAAUUGUUAGUUGAUUAGAUUUUACUGGUUUGAUUUAUGUUCUAAAUUGAUUAAUGAUUAACCGUGAUUGUCGAUGAUUCAAUUGUGAAGGAUUAAGAUUGGUAACUUAAUGUGUAUCGGUCAAAGCUUAAUCUCUGUUGUUACUUUUUUUUUAUUUGGAUCUACAAGAUUAUCAAAUAGUUUUUGUUGUUUCUUUGGAUUAUCCCUUAUCCCCAAGAUUUAUACCCAUUUGCUUAUCCAGGGCUGUCAUCAGGAUGAUCAACUGAACCUUUGGAUAUCAUGAAAUGAACCAUUUAUAAACUUUGGCCAACGGAAUUGACUUGAUCAAUCCAAUGGUGAUUGAUUGUCAACCUUUUCAUUUGGUGAAAUUAAAUCAUCACCAGAGUUUUUAUUUUUAUUUUUUGUACCAUAGUAACUGUAAAGUUAAUUAUGACCAUUGAUUGAACAAUAUUGGUUUUAUUUGGUGUGAGAAUCAAAGAGCGGAUGACUUAUUGGAAGAUAAUUUGAUCAUUAGUAUUGACAAAACUCUAUGGGUUAUUACUGAUGAUUUAAGAAGAAAAGAAGGAAAGAAAAAAAAUGGAAAAAAAUAUCGUUAUGGUCAUUCAUAAUUUUACAUAUUCUUCUGUCUCCCGUGUAUCAUCAUUAUCAUCUCCUUUUCCUCUUCCAUCAUCUUCUCCACCAUCCUCAUCAUUGUGAUCUUCAUCUCUCUCCCUCUCACUUAGAUUAUGUCUUUUUACAUAUUUCUCUCUCUCUCUCUCUCUCUCUCUCUACCAUGACUUGACUUUAAAUGAUUAGGUCAAGUUACAUAUAAAUAUCCAUACAUGUGUAUGUAAGAGUAGGUCAACCAACCCAAAAAUAUGCAUCAUGGGUAAGGGUCACUCCAAAGUCCGUUUUUCUGUGUGUAAAAAACGAGAGAGAAAAUGUUUGACAUAAGAUCGAUGACCAUCCAUAGAUUCAUCAUUAAACCUUAUGGCUUCCGAGUUUAUACAAAGCUCUCAUCCUUCAUCAUCGUUUUCAUCAUCCUCUUCUCUCUCUCUCUCUCUCUCUCUCAGGUCCCAUAAUCAUUUUCGUGCCCAUCAUUAUCCUUAUUAUCAUUUUCAUCAUCAUCAUUGUCCCAAUUAAAGGAAAGGUCCAGAGGAAUUAUUUUUUGUUUCUAUGUGGUCAAGGAUUCUAAAAGCAACAAGGAGAGUCAAGGAUAAGGAAAAGACCAAAAGUCCAAUAGAGAGAUAGAGAAAAAGAAAGAGCUUUUAAAGAAUUUCUUUAGUUUUCUUGAGUGGUUAUUUGAAAGGAAUCAUCUCCCUCGAUCAUCAUCAUCAUCAUCGUCCACAGGUAAAGAUGUGAAAAGUUUCCCGUUUAUGGUCAAAUCACAUUCACACAUAACGGGACUUAAACGAAGGUCAUCUCAAGAUAUUCAAAUUGUUUUGUAAUGUUUUUUUCUCAUCAUCAUCAUCCACAUCUUCCUCUCUCUCUCUCUCUCUCUCUCUCUCUCUCUCUCUC